AACGAACGCUGGCGGCAGGCCUAACACAUGCAAGUCGAACGCCGUAGCAAUACGGAGUGGCAGACGGGUGAGUAACACGUGGGAACGUACCCUUCGGUUCGGGAUAACUCAGGGAAACUUGAGCUAAUACCGGAUACGUCCGAGAGGAGAAAGAUUUAUUGCCGAGGGAUCGGCCCGCGUCUGAUUAGCUUGUUGGUGAGGUAACGGCUCACCAAGGCGACGAUCAGUAGCUGGUCNGAGAGGAUGAUCAGCCACAUUGGGACUGAGACACGGCCCAAACUCCUACGGGAGGCAGCAGUGGGGAAUAUUGGACAAUGGGCGCAAGCCUGAUCCAGCCAUGCCGCGUGAGUGAUGAAGCCC
rnacentral:rRNA from 1 species